GUGCUCACUUCAGCAGCACAUGUACUAAUGCUGGAAUGAUACUGAGAUGAUUGCAUGGCCCCUGCAUAAGGAUGACAUGUAAAUUCAUGAAGCAUUCCAUACGUUU
rnacentral:snRNA from 1 species